AGAUCGGGAGGCGCGCGGUGGGACGUGUGCCGGGAAUUGAUCGGGUUCGUGUCGUCUCUAUUGGGCAGACCGCCGGGGCCCGACGGUGGAAUG
rfam:Marivita cryptomonadis strain CL-SK44 contig5, whole genome shotgun sequence.